GAUAAACGCUGGCGGCGCACAUAAGACAUGCAAGUCGAACGAACUUAACCAUUAGUUUACUAUUGGAGCGGUUAGUGGCGGACUGGUGAGUAACACGUAAGCAACCUGCCUAUCAGAGGGGAACAACAGUUAGAAAUGACUGCUAAUACCGCAUAUGCCUUGAGUAUCACAUGGUACAAAAGGGAAAGGAGCAAUCCGCUGAUAGAUGGGCUUGCGUCUGAUUAGAUAGUUGGUGAGGUAACGGCCCACCAAGUCGACGAUCAGUAGCCGGACUGAGAGGUUGAACGGCCACAUUGGGACUGAGAUACGGCCCAGACUCCUACGGGAGGCAGCAGUCGGGAAUAUUGCGCAAUGGAGGAAACUCUGACGCAGUGACGCCGCGUGCAGGAAGAAGGUUUUCGGAUUGUAAACUGCUUUAGACAGGGAAGAAACAAGACAGUACCUGUAGAAUAAGCUCCGGCUAACUACGUG
rnacentral:rRNA from 1 species